rnacentral:lncRNA from 1 species
AAGCGCCACUGUGCAUAUGUAGCCGGUAUGUAGUAUGCAUAUAGAUACCAUAUGACAGCUUGGUUUCGAACCUCGAACUCGAAUCGCUGCAGUGCCAGGGAAAGGUAUGAACAACAGGCAAAAACGGCGAAGCUAAAUUAAAAGGAUCGAACGAACCAAACCUCUCAUUCAACUCUCUAGCGCAACACACAACCUUUUCGAAUUGGAGCACCCCCGCUAGAGGGCGCUCAAGUUAACAGCGGUUGAAAGCGGCUAACAGAGUUCUGCAGUUCAAAACAAAC